GAUGAACGCUAGCGAUAGGCUUAACACAUGCAAGUCGAGGGGUAACGUGUUGGAAGCUUGCUUCCGAUGACGACGACCGGCGGAUGGGUGCGUAACGCGUAUGCAACUUGCCUCACAGUGGAGAAUAACCCGGAGAAAUCCGGACUAAUACUCCAUACACUCUUAAGUACGCCUGUACAUGAGAGGAAAGAUUUAUCGCUGUGAGAUAGGCAUGCGUCCUAUUAGGUAGUUGGUGAGGUAACGGCUCACCAAGCCGACGAUAGGUAGGGGUGCUGAGAGGCAGAUCCCCCACAUUGGGACUGAGACACGGCCCAAACUCCUACGGGCGGCAGCAGUGAGGAAUAUUGGUCAAUGGAGGAAUCUCUGAACCAGCCGAGUCGCGUUAAGGAAGAAUGUCCUAAGGAUUGUAAACUUCUUUAGCGAGCGAGUAAGGACUUCCACGUGAUGGGAGUUUGAAAGUAGCUCGAGAAUAAGUAUCGGCUAACUCCGUG
rnacentral:rRNA from 1 species